rnacentral:misc_RNA from 1 species
AAGUCGUAACAAGGUUUCCGUAGGUGAACCUGCGGAAGGAUCAUUAUCGAAUCAAUCUAGAGUCGGUUGUCGCUGGCCCUUUUGGGCAUGUGCACACCUUCUCUUUCAUCCACACACACCUGUGCACUUGUGAGACGGAAGCCCCUCGGGUGUCUGUCUGCUCUACAUAAACUCAUAUAUAUAUAUAAAUUGAAUGUAAUUGAUGCAACACAUCUUUAAACAAAGUUUCAACAACGGAUCUCUUGGCUCUC